GACGAACCGUGCGAGCGUUGUUCGGAAUCACUGGGCUUAAAGGGCGCGUAGGCGGGCCGUCCAGUCAGGGGUGAAAUCCUCCAGCUUAACUGGAGAACAGCUUUUGAUACUGACGGGCUCGAGGGGGGUAGGGGCAUGUGGAACUUCCGGUGGAGCGGUGAAAUGCGUAGAUAUCGGAAGGAACGCCGGUGGCGAAAGCGACGUGCUGGACCCUUUCUGACGCUGAGGCGCGAAAGCCAGGGGAGCAAACGGG
rnacentral:rRNA from 1 species